rnacentral:rRNA from 1 species
GGAGUUAGGAAAUGCAGGUGCGUUAAUAGCGCACUUGCUUGACUAAGGCUCCAGAGGAAGCCACGGCUAACUCUGUGCCAGCAGCCGCGGUAAUACAGAGGCGGCAAGCGUUGUUCGGAAUUAUUGGGCGUAAAGAGCACGUAGGCGGCCUUGCAAGUCAGUUGUGAAAGCCUUCCGCUUAACGGAAGAACGGCAUCUGAUACUACAGGGCUUGAGUACGGGAGGGGAGAGUGGAACU